rnacentral:rRNA from 1 species
ACUCCUACGGGAGGCAGCAGUGGGGAAUAUUGGACAAUGGGGGCAACCCUGAUCCAGCGAUGCCGCGUGUGUGAAGAAGGCCUUCGGGUUGUAAAGCACUUUCAGUGGGGAAAAACAGGGCGGAGCUAAUAUCUCCACCUCUGAUGGUACCCAAAGAAGAAGCACCGGCUAACUCUGUGCCAGCAGCCGCGGUAAU